UGCGCCUGCAAAGAGGAGAGAUCAGAGGACAUUUACAAAAUCACAGUCCUCCCACGGUGGUGGGAAAAGGUUACUGUAGUAUGUCCUAAGGGGUGAACAGCGUGCCCAAGGGAAACAGUAAGGACAGGGCAAGACCCAGGAAAGCAACAAAAAUUUAGAUGUUGUCUAUGUGGCUGCCCCAGUGCCCGCUGCCUCGUUUCUCAGAGCUAAUCAAGGGAAGCGUAACUAGUCCAGGCGGCAGGACGAGUUUACAACAACUGACAUUCAUCUGCUCCUGCCUCCGCUAAGGGCGACUUGGAGACGGACCUCUGAUCUCCCGGUUCCACUUCAGUGAGCGCUCAGCACGGCGGCUGUCAUUUGCAGACACUGAAGAGUGCGCUAAUAGAAUCACAGCCCUCGUUAGCUACUGAAUAAAAGAUCAAUCACAGACUUUGAAAGCUCCUGCUACCAGCUUCCAGAGGAAACAAGAAAAAAAAAAAAGAGCGUGAGCAAGAGAGAAAGAUAUUUAGGAUCAUCGCUGAGAUUCUGAAUGGCCUCGCUGCAAGUUGCUUAAAUUACCUUUUCCACAACUGACUCCAACUGUAAUACUCAGAGGAACUUGUUAAGCCUGCCUUCAAGAGCAGCAUUCUAAUAUAUGACUGCUAGACCCUGGUCAAAAGUUCAUAAUGUGCAUAUGUAAAAAGUUCCUCAUUUGGAAAACGGACAGUGCAAGAGCAGCAGACGAUGACUCAGAAUGCUGGGAGGGGCUGUGUCAAAUACAGGAUGCCCAGGAGAAGCUAGAAUUGGAC
rnacentral:lncRNA from 1 species